CCUACGGUGGUCAGCAGUGGGGAAUAUUGGGCAAUGGGCGCAAGCCUGACCCAGCAACGCCGCGUGAAGGAAGAAGGCUUUCGGGUUGUAAACUUCUUUUCUCAGGGACGAAGAAAGUGACGGUACCUGAGGAAUAAGCCACGGCUAACUACGUGCCAGCAGCCGCGGUAAUACGUAGGUGGCAAGCGUUAUCCGGAUUUAUUGGGUGUAAAGGGCGUGUAGGCGGGAGCGCAAGUCAGAUGUGAAAACUCAGGGCUCAACCCUGAGCCUGCAUGUGAAACUGUGUUUCUUGAGUGCUGGAGAGGCAAUCGGAAUUCCGGGGGUAGCGGUGAAAUGCGUAGAUAUACGGAGGAACACCAGUGGCGAAGGCGACUAUCUGGCACAUAACUGACGCUGAGGAGCGAAAGCGUGGGUAGCAAACAGGAUUAGAUACCCUGGUAGUC
rnacentral:rRNA from 1 species